rnacentral:misc_RNA from 1 species
UGUGGGAGCGAGCUUGCUCGCGAUGACGGUGUGUCAGCCAGAAAAUGAGUGACCGGACUGACGCCAUCGCGAGCAAGCUCGCUCCCACA